rnacentral:lncRNA from 1 species
UGGCUAAUAUCUCGCAAAACAUAUCGCUGUAAGGCGGUGUUAUCUGGAUGCUUCAGAUAUUUCUGACCAAUUUUUUUUACAGCACCUGUCAACAUGAACCGAGUCUUGGGAAUGGACCUUCUUGCAACAGUUGCGGUGGCCAUAGCUGUGAUCAUCAUGGCACCCAACGAAGCUGCUGCUCUUGGAGGCAUGGUCGGAGGAAAUGGUGGAAUCGGUCUGAAAAAGAAGUGAACCAGCAGUCACUGUGGAUGAUAUCAGGAUUCUAGUAUUUCGAUGACAUAGCUCACUUGUUGUGCAAAACAC